ACGGAAGGCAGCAGUGGGGAAUCUUGCGCAAUGGGCGAAAGCCUGACGCAGCAACGCCGCGUGCGGGAUGAAGGCCUUCGGGUUGUAAACCGCUUUCAGUGGGGACGAAUUCAGACGGUACCCACAGAAGAAGCCCCGGCCAACUACGUGCCAGCAGCCGCGGUAACACGUAGGGGGCGAGCGUUGUCCGGAAUCAUUGGGCGUAAAGAGCUCGUAGGCGGCUCAGUAAGUCGGGUGUGAAACCCCCAGGCUCAACCUGGGGACGCCACCCGAUACUGCUGUGGCUAGAGUCCAGUAGGGGAGUGUGGAAUUCCCGGUGUAGCGGUGAAAUGCGCAGAUAUCGGGAGGAACACCAGCGGCGAAGGCGGCACUCUGGGCUGGAACUGACGCUGAGGAGCGAAAGCGUGGGUAGCAAACAGGAUUAGAUACCCUGGUA
rnacentral:rRNA from 1 species